AGAGUUUGAUCCUGGCUCAGGAUGAACGCUAGCGGCAGGCCUAAUACAUGCAAGUCGAACGAUACUAUCCAGCUUGCUGGAUAGGAAAGUGGCGCACGGGUGCGUAACGCGUAUGCAACCUACCUUAAUCAGGGGGAUAGCCCGAAGAAAUUCGGAUUAACACCGCAUAAAAACACAGUACAGCAUUGUACAAUGUUCAAAUAUUUAUAGGAUUAAGAUGGGCAUGCGUGUCAUUAGCUAGUUGGCGGGGUAACGGCCCACCAAGGCGACGAUGACUAGGGGAUCUGAGAGGAUGACCCCCCACACUGGUACUGAGACACGGACCAGACUCCUACGGGAGGCAGCAGUAAGGAAUAUUGGUCAAUGGAGGCAACUCUGAACCAGCCAUGCCGCGUGCAGGAAGACAGCCCUCUGGGUCGUAAACUGCUUUUAUUCGGGAAUAAACCUUUCUACGUGUAGGAAGCUGAAUGUACCGAAGGAAUAAGGAUCGGCUAACUCCGUGCCAGCAGCCGCGGUAAUACGGAGGAUCCAAGCGUUAUCCGGAUUUAUUGGGUUUAAAGGGUGCGUAGGCGGCUUAUUAAGUCAGGGGUGAAAGACGGUGGCUCAACCAUCGCAGUGCCCUUGAUACUGAUGAGCUUGAAUGAACUAGAGGUAGGCGGAAUGUGACAAGUAGCGGUGAAAUGCAUAGAUAUGUCACAGAACACCGAUUGCGAAGGCAGCUUACUAUGGUUUUAUUGACGCUGAGGCACGAAAGCGUGGGGAUCAAACAGGAUUAGAUACCCUGGUAGUCC
rnacentral:rRNA from 1 species